UACGGAGGGGGCUAGCGUUGUUCGGAAUUACUGGGCGUAAAGCGCGCGUAGGCAGACCUGCAAGUCGGGGGUGAAAGCCCGAGGCUCAACCUCGGAACUGCCUUCGAUACUGCGGGUCUCGAGUCCGGGAGAGGUGAGUGGAAUUCCUAGUGUAGAGGUGAAAUUCGUAGAUAUUAGGAAGAACACCAGUGGCGAAGGCGGCUCACUGGCCCGGUACUGACGCUGAUGCACGAAAGCGUGGGGAGCAAACAGG
rnacentral:rRNA from 1 species